rnacentral:rRNA from 1 species
GACGAACGCUGGCGGCGUGCCUAAUACAUGCAAGUCGAGCGGACUGAUUAAGAGCUUGCUCUUAUGACGUUAGCGGCGGACGGGUGAGUAACACGUGGGCAACCUGCCCUGUAGAUCGGGAUAACACCGAGAAAUCGGUGCUAAUACCGGGUAAUAUCUGAGAUCACAUGAUCUUAGGUUAAAAGAUGGCUCCGGCUAUCACUACAGGAUGGGCCCGCGGCCCAUUAGCUAGUUGGUAAGGUAAUGGCUUACCAAGGCGACGAUGCGUAGCCGACCUGAGAGGGUGAUGGGCCACACUGGGACUGAGACACGGCCCAGACUGCAACGGGAGGCAGCAGUGGGGAAUCUUCCGCAAUGGACGAAAGUCUGACGGAGCAACGCCGCGUGAGUGAUGAAGGGUUUCGGCUCGUAAAGCUCUGUUGUUAGGGAAGAAACAGUACCGAACGAACUAGGUCGGUACCUUGACGGUACCUAACCAGAAAGCCACGGCUAACUACGUG